rnacentral:rRNA from 1 species
UACGUAGGGCGCAAGCGUUAUCCGGAAUUAUUGGGCGUAAAGAGCUCGUAGGCGGUCUGUUGCGUCGGUUGUGAAAACCUGGGGCUCAACUCCAGGCCUGCAGUCGAUACGGGCAGACUAGAGUUCGGUAGGGGAGACUGGAAUUCCUGGUGUAGCGGUGAAAUGCGCAGAUAUCAGGAGGAACACCGGUGGCGAAGGCGGGUCCCUGGGCCGAAACUGACGCUGAGGAGCGAAAGCGUGGGGAGCGAACAGG